GAGGAAUAUUGGGCAAUGCCCGAAAGGGUGACCCAGCAACGCCGCGUGGAGGAUGAAGGUCGUAAGAUUGUAAACUCCUGUCAGAGGGGAAGAAUAACUAAGUUUGGAGCUUAGUAUGACUGUACCCUCAGAGAAAGCCCCGGCUAACUACGUGCCAGCAGCCGCGGUAAUACGUAGGGGGCAAGCGUUGUCCGGAUUUACUGGGUGUAAAGGGCGCGCAGGCGGAAUGGAAAGUCAGUGGUGAAAUCCUACAGCUUAACUGUAGAACUGCCUUUGAUACUUUCAUUCUUGAGUUCGGGAGAGAGAGACGGAAUUCCAGGUGUAGUGGUGAAAUACGUAGAUAUCUGGAAGAACACCAGUUGCGAAGGCGGUCUCUUGGUCCGAUACUGACGCUGAGGCGCGAAAGCGUGGGGAGCAAACA
rnacentral:rRNA from 1 species